AAUGAACGCUGGCGGCAGGCCUAACACAUGCAAGUCGAACGAGUGGCGGACGGGUGAGUAAUGUCUGGGAAACGGCCUGAUGGAGGGGGAUAACUACUGGAAACGGUAGCUAAUACCGCAUACCAUAAGAUGUGCCCAGAUGGGAAUAGCUUGUUGGUGGGGGAACGGCUCACCAAGGCGACGAUCCCUAGCCGUUCUGCGAGGAUGACCGGCCCCACUGGACCUGAGACACGGUCCAGAGUCCUACGGUAGGCAGCAGUGGGGAAUAUUGCACAAUGGGCGCAAGCCUGAUGCCGCCAUGCCGCUUGUAUGAAGAAGGCCUUCGGGUUUUAAAGUACUUUCAUCGGGGAGGCGUUACCCGCAGAAGAAGCACCGGCUAACUCCGUGCCAGCAGCCGCGGUAAUUC
rnacentral:rRNA from 1 species